rnacentral:tRNA from 1 species
GUAGCAGGAGUAUGGUAAGUAUGUCUACUUUCCAAGUAGAAGGUCCUUUUGUAGGUUGCUAUU